AACCAUUGAUGAAGUGGCAUCAAUGAAGGACCAAGCGGGGUCGAUAAG
rnacentral:ncRNA from 1 species